GUGAGAAAUAGCUCAAAGGUUAGUGUCGCGACCUAAAUUGGUGUCAACAGCUAGCCAAUGGAGUCCUGCUCUAUUUCGCUCUUUUGGCUCGGCCUCCUCCUCCCGACACUUCUAGUUUUCCUUCUCAACCGUCGGAAGCGCACCAAGCUUCCCCCUCAGCCCCCAGCAUGGCCCGUGAUCGGCAACAUCCUCGACCUCGGGACCAUGCCGCACCAGAACCUCCACAACCUCCGAGCCAAGCAUGGGCCUGUCUUGUGGUUGAAGCUCGGUUCCGUGAACACCAUGGUGAUCCAAUCAGCUCGAGCGGCCAUGGAGUUAUUCAAGGGCCAUGACUUCGUGUUCGCAGACCGCAAGUGUUCCCAAGCGUUUACUGCUCUCGGCUAUGACCAAGGCUCGCUCGCUCUUGGUCGUCAUGGUGACUACUGGCGCGCUCUCCGGCGUCUCUGCUCCGCGGAGCUCCUCGUGAACAAGCGCGUCAACGAUACGGCCCACCUCAGGCAAAAGUGUGUCGACAGCAUGAUCAUGUAUAUAGAAGAAGAAAUGGCAGUCAAACAAGCAACAAAAGGGCAAGGAAUCGACUUAUCUCACUUCCUCUUUCUCCUGGCAUUUAAUGUGGUGGGCAACAUGGUGCUCUCACGGGAUCUAUUGGACCCAAAAUCGAAGGAUGGGCCCGAGUUCUACGACGCCAUGAACCGGUUCAUGGAGUGGGCUGGCAAGCCCAACGUAGCCGACUUCAUGCCAUGGUUGAAAUGGUUGGAUCCGCAGGGGAUCAAGGCAGGCAUGGCGAAGGACAUGGGUCGAGCCAUGAGGAUUGCCGAAGGCUUUGUGAAAGAGAGGUUGGAGGAGCGAAAGCUAAGGGGAGAGAUGAGAACAACGAAUGAUUUCUUGGACGCAGUAUUGGAUUAUGAGGGCGAUGGAAAAGAAGGCCCUCACAAAAUCUCUUCCCAGAACAUAAAUAUAAUCAUUCUGGAAAUGUUUUUCGCCGGAUCGGAGAGUACAAGUAGCACCAUCGAGUGGGCGAUGGCGGAGCUACUCCGCCAGCGAGUCGAUGAAAAAGGCCAAAGAUGAGAUUGACCAGGUUGUGGGGUUGAACAGAAAGCUCGAAGAAAAUGACACGGAAAAGAUGCCAUUUUUGCAAGCCGUGGUGAAGGAAACCCUAAGAUUGCAUCCCCAUUACCUUUACUUAUCCCACGAAAUGCUCUAAAGGAAACCAAAUUCAUGGGUUUUGAUAUACCCAAAGAUACCCAGGUUUUCGUGAAUGCAUGGAGCAUUGGAAGAGACCCCGAUGCUUGGGAGGACCCAUUGGCAUUCAAACCAGAGAGGUUCAUGGGAUCAAAAAUUGACUACAAGGGUCAAAACUUUGAGCUAAUUCCAUUUGGAUCAGGCAGAAGAAUAUGCGUCGGACUUUCAUUGGCGGAUAGGGUGCUUCAUCUUGGUCUUGCAACACUGCUUUACCAUUUCGAUUGGGAACUAGGCGAUGGUUCAACUCCAAAGACCCUCGACAUGAAAGAGCGGGUGGGAAUAACACUUAGAAAGCUCCAUCCUUUGAAAGUGAUACCUAAGAAAUGUAGCGUGUGAGGUAUAAUUACCCUAAGGUUAUUAUAAUGUUAUCGUGUCAAGGAUUAAAAAAGCUGUCCAAGAAAGACUUCUUAAGAACGAUGUCAUCCCUGCACAAAUAUCUUAGGGAAACUACAAGUUCUUAUGUUAGCAUUUGGGUCCCGUUUGAAUUGUAUGACUUGAGCAUGUAGCAGGGUAGCUCCCCUGCCCUUUAUACCAUCAAUAAAACCUCACUUGUCGAAAA